rnacentral:lncRNA from 1 species
UUUUGUUGGUUUUCUUGAAGAUGUACAUUCCAAAUAGCGAGUGCACAGGCUAGACCUUCAGUGUUCAGUAACGAGACCGACCUGAUCCUGAUCAGUAGUCAGGGGUUGCCGGCAGUGGAAGAACAAAGAGAUGCUCUGUACCCACUGAAGACGAAGGCUAUGGGCUGACAAGCCUAGCAUCGGUGGUCAGCCAUUUUGCCAUUAGUGCUAUGAAGAGAAGGCCUUUUCCUCAGGACCAGAAGUGCUCUGCGCUCUGCUAUUAACCCCAUGAAAAGAGUUCUUUCCAGAUAAGCGGAUACUUGCGGCUGCGUGGAGUGGAUCCCAGUCCCAGUUUGCUACCAGCAAUCCCAACCCAAGACACAGAUUUCUGGGUGCUGGUGUGAUGCUAUGUGUCGUGAAAUCCAGCCGAUAGGAGAUCCUUCACACAGUCUCUGUCUUUUCCGCCUCUCCCCUCCCAGUCGCUGUCUCCAGGUGUGCUCUAGCUUCUGUUCCCACCCACCUCUGUGUGAGGCAAGUCGAACCGCGUCAGCAGACAAGAACUGGGAAGGAUGAGCAUUGUCUGGGAAAGCACACUGUCGUCACCUGCCUCCCCCAUCCCGGUCCCCACCACUCUCUGACUGAUGCCAUCGCCUAGAUGAUAAAGCGCCCGUCACUCAAGCACAGAAGUCGAAAUUCAUAGUUCAUUUCUUUACUUAUGUAAGAUCAUUCACUGACAAAAGAACUCAAAUGGAAAGGCUUUGGGCAUAUGCAGAAACGGGGAGAAAAAAAUAAUCUCUCCGAGUCAGAAGCCUCGGGGGAGCAUAGCAAGACUUAUCAAAGUUACAGUGCUCCAUUUGGAAAGCGCCAACCGCCAGCCCUCGGGCGAGGUGCAGUGGUGCAUAAUUAAUGUAGUCCCAGACACAGGUCACUGAAGUGCCCCACAGGUGUGUGCCUGGUUUUCAAUAAGGCCUUUCCCUCGGAACUCCUCUUCCGACUUUGAGUUUGUGCUCCCGGAAGCCUUGCACGAUCGGGAGAAUUCAGAAGAACGAUCUGAAUGCCCAUCAAUAGAAAAUGGCAAGAAAUUACGGCAGAUCUAGUCUCUGGAAUCCUAGGUAUUUGGGGAAAAGAAGCAAGCUGGGUCCCAAAACACUGAUAUAGAAAAGUGGCUGUAGUUUUUGUUGUUGGUGUUGUUUUGUUUUUGCUUUUCAUCAGGAAGGCAAAUAGAAAAAGGUUCACAAUAUUCCAUUUUUUGCAAGACUUCCAUUUUUCAAGUAAGUCUUUGUCCUGAAGGUCACACCAAUGCCCUCAUUAUAUAUGCCCUUCCUGCAAUAUGUGGCUUUUCUGGGUUUCCUGAGCAGGCUGCAGUUUGAGUUUGAACCCUGGGCCUACAGGUGCACAGAUGCUAUCAGCAUUGAUUUGUCCCUCUCGAGACUUUCCAGAUUUGGAGACGUGCCACGCAGUGGAGCGUGAUGACUGUCCAAGAGCUGUUAAGGAGCUACCUCGUGCCCCCGACCACAACCCCCUGCGCGCGCCCCCUGGCGGGGAAGAGGCUUGGCCCCCAUGGGAUAUCAGAAGCAGGAGAACCCUAAGAAAGCGCCCCUCCCUCUGUGCUUGAGGAGACUACUCCGAAGUGGGAUUUCUUCCCGCAAACUUUUCCAGAAGAAUCCGGCGUGAGAAGUAGACACACCUGCUGAAACCGGCCAGCACAGCUACGCAUCCCAUCACUUCAUUGUUUCUGGAUUAACUUCCGGUUGUUUUGUUUUAUUUAACUUUCUCCUUCACCAGCCUUGCUUGCUUUUCCCAAAUAAAGUGGACCCCGAU